UACGUAGGGUGCAAGCGUUGUCCGGAAUUAUUGGGCGUAAAGAGCUCGUAGGCGGUUUGUUGCGUCGGCUGUGAAAUCCCGAGGCUCAACCUCGGGUCUGCAGUCGAUACGAGCAAACUAGAGUGUUGCAGGGGAGACUGGAAUUCCUGGUGUAGCGGUGAAAUGCGCAGAUAUCAGGAGGAACACCGGUGGCGAAGGCGGGUCUCUGGGCAACAACUGACGCUGAGACACGAAAGCGUGGGUAGCGAACAGG
rnacentral:rRNA from 1 species